AGUGAACGCUGGCGGUAGGCCUAACACAUGCCAGUCGAACGGCAGCACAGUAAGAGCUUGCUCUUACGGGUGGCGAGUGGCGGACGGGUGAGGAAUACAUCGGAAUCUACUUUUUCGUGGGGGAUAACGUAGGGAAACUUACGCUAAUACCUCAUACGACCUACGGGUGAAAGCAGGGGAUCUUCGGACCUUGCGCGAUUGAAUGAGCCGAUGUCGGAUUAGCUAGUUGGCGGGGUAAAGGCCCACCAAGGCGACGAUCCGUAGCUGGUCUGAGAGGAUGAUCAGCCACACUGGAACUGAGACACGGUCCAGACUCCUACGGGAGGCAGCAGUGGGGAAUAUUGGACAAUGGGCGCAAGCCUGAUCCAGCCAUACCGCGUGAGUGAAGAAGGCCUUCGGGUUGUAAAGCCCUUUUGUUGGGAAAGAAAAGCAGCAGGUUAAUACCCCGCUGUUCUGACGGUACCCAAAGAAUAAGCACCGGCUAACUUCGUG
rnacentral:rRNA from 1 species